GAUGAAGAACGUAGCGAAAUGCGAUAAGUAGUGUGAAUUGCAGAAUUCAGUGAAUCAUCGAAUCUUUGAACGCACAUUGCGCCCUUUGGUAUUCCUUAGGGCAUGCCUGUUCGAGCGUCAUUUCAACCCUCAAGCCCUGCUUGGUGUUGGGCGUUUGUCCUGCCUCCGCGCGGGACUCGCCUCAAAGACAUUGGCGGCCGGUUUCCCUUUGCAGGCCACGAGCGCAGCACAGCGAGCGCUCUACGUGGACGCGGGGUCGGCGCACCAGAAGCCCUCUUUCUCGAAUUUUGACCUCGGAUCAGGUAGGGAUACCCGCUGAACUUAAGCAUAUCAAUAAGCGGGGA
rnacentral:misc_RNA from 1 species